GAUGAACGCUGGCGGCGUGCCUGACACAUGCAAGUCGAACGGAGAUUCCGGACGGAAGUUUUCGGAUGGAAGACUGUAAUUCUUAGUGGCGGACGGGUGAGUAACGCGUGGGCAACCUGCCCUAUACAGGGGGAUAGCAGCUGGAAACGGCUGGUAAGACCGCAUAAGUCGGUUAAAUCGCAUGAUUUGAUCGGGAAAUGAGCAAUCAGGUAUAGGAUGGGCCCGCGUCCGAUUAGCCAGUUGGCAGGGUAAAAGCCUACCAAAGCGACGAUCGGUAGCCGGACUGAGAGGUCGGACGGCCACAUUGGGACUGAGACACGGCCCAAACUCCUACGGGAGGCAGCAGUGGGGGAUAUUGCACAAUGGAGGAAACUCUGAUGCAGCGACGCCGCGUGAGUGAAGAAGUAUUUCGGUAUGUAAAGCUCUAUCAGCAGGGAAGAUGAUGACGGUACCUGACUAAGAAGCCCCGGCUAACUACGUG
rnacentral:rRNA from 1 species